ACAGUCACUUUGGUCCCCGAAAGUGGCACUCGCUGUCAUAUUAGUCCCUGAAUCAUCAAAAAACAUUUAAAACUCCCUGAAUGUAACUUCCGUUAGUCAAAAUAGUCCCCGACGUCAAGUUUUAGCAAAGAACUGUUUGAUAGUGCUGACGUGGACAAUUUGUUGACUUUGUUGAUCAAUACGUGUCACUUUUCUUUAAAAUUUGAUGCCACGUAGGCAAGGACUAUAUUGAAGGAAAAAUUGAACAAAAAGGAAGAUGAACAUUGAGGACUAAAUUGACAAAGAAAAAAUCACCCCCAAAUAUAAAGUGGGAAUCCAAAAUCUUCUUCCUCUUCUGUUUCACCAAAAAAAAAAAUCUUCUUCCUCUUCUCAUGGCCAUGUUCUUCUUAUUC
rnacentral:lncRNA from 1 species